CCCUUAGAUGUUCUGGGCCGCACGCGUGCUACACUGAGUGGAUCAGCGGGUCAGGUUGCGCGAAAGCGUUUCCUAAUCUUUAAAUCCGCUCGUGAUGGGGAUUGACGGUUGCAAUUUUCUGUCGUGAACGAGGAAUACCUUGUAGGCGCGUGUCAUCAUCACGCGCCGAAUACGUCCCUGCCCUUUGUACACACCGCCCGUCGCUCCUACCGAUUGAGUGAUCCGGUGAGGCUCUGGGACCUGGACGGAAAGAGCGUUUCGCUUGUUCUGUUUGGGAAACUUGGUCGAACCUUAUCAUUUAGAGGAAGGAGAAGUCGUAACA
rnacentral:rRNA from 1 species